UCGAAAUGUGGAGAUACCUUUCUUUACUGUCACCUGUUAGCUCUGUCCGCCACGGGUUAGCGACAUAAACAAAAUCUAUCUCGCUAAGCUUCAUUCUACAAGCAUUCCUCUACUCUAUUUGUUCAUUCAUUGUUGAGAAAAGGGUAUAUGGAUUCCGGAUCAUAAAGCAAAGGGAAUCCGCGACCUAUGUUGUGACCGAAGAUUGAAUGGAGGUAGUACCAACGAACCAGGAACUGAUAGAAUUGAUGAUUUGAACAGGGUGCUGCAGAAGAAGAAAGAAAAAAAGAAGGUGGAUUGUGAGAUCCCACAU